GUGGGGAAUUUUGGACAAUGGGCGCAAGCCUGAUCCAGCCAUGCCGCGUGCAGGAUGAAGGCCUUCGGGUUGUAAACUGCUUUUGUACGGAACGAAAAGACUCUUUCUAAUAAAGAGGGUCCAUGACGGUACCGUAAGAAUAAGCACCGGCUAACUACGUGCCAGCAGCCGCGGUAAUACGUAGGGUGCGAGCGUUAAUCGGAAUUACUGGGCGUAAAGCGUGCGCAGGCGGUUAUAUAAGACAGAUGUGAAAUCCCCGGGCUCAACCUGGGAACUGCAUUAGUGACUGUAUAGCUGGAGUGCGGCAGAGGGGGAUGGAAUUCCGCGUGUAGCAGUGAAAUGCGUAGAUAUGCGGAGGAACACCGAUGGCGAAGGCAAUCCCCUGGGCCUGCACUGACGCUCAUGCACGAAAGCGUGGGGAGCAAACAGGAUUAGAAACCCUUGUAGUCC
rnacentral:rRNA from 1 species